rnacentral:lncRNA from 1 species
UUCAACACGACAAGAGAGCAUAAUUACCUACUUGAUGAUUCUGCCCGGCGGCGUGAUAAUAUGAAUGAAUUCUCGAUGAUUUAAGGAGGAACUAUUGUCACUUCCUAUCAUUACCUCAGCGGAGAGGAACGGCAAGGGAAAGUGGGUAAUAUACAAAAGUAAAUGACUGCAUAGAAUAAUAGCUACUCGGUGAAAGAGUUCACAAAAUCGCGAUGGAAUUCGCGGAAUUAUCAGAGUUAUCGGCAAUUUGAUUAGGGGACAUUAUUCGACGCAGUUGCCAAAUAUUACCAACAAUGUUGAUUUAUUUGAUACACAAAGCCUAAGGAUAGCGCGGGAAAAAAACUGCCAGCUGUUCAUGAUCUUGAGAAAAAAGAAGAAGGCACCGAAAGAAUUUAUAAUGUCCUGCAUGACGUCACAAAAACGCCGUAUCUUCUAUUCACCAUAAGGCAAAAGAGAGCUCUACGUCACGAGAGAGGUUCGAUGAGGAUGAAAUGCUUCCAUCCUCACUGCUUUCAAAGUUUGUAUUUGUGUAUUGUAUUUUGUAACUGAAAAAGAUAAGUAUCCUGCAAGUAACAACGUGAUUUCACACUAAAUAAUGUGUCCGUUUCAGUUUUACAUUUAUUCAAAUCUUUAUUUCUGUUCAGAAUGAUAAUCGACUUUAUUCCAAGGUGUUCAAAAAGAUAAUUCAGCCGAAAUCAUGUCUCACUCUCCAGUAUUAUUCGAGUCUGAUGAUGAGACCACAGACUGUGGGAACAUUGAAUCAGAGGAGACACCUGUGAUUGAGCAAGUUGCUGAACCUCACCCUGGUCAUUUAAGAGAUGAAUCACGCGUGAACAAUCUAAGAUCAAUUUUAAAAGGUGUUCCUCCGCCUCCAAAUUACACGAUUGCAGAGCUGAACAUUCUGGAUCUUCUCAAUAAGUAUCAUGACAAUAAAGGGAUCUUUGGCUUGGACCAAGUGACUCCAAUGGAAAUCAUUGAAGAUUCAUCUGCACCGCAAGAACAGCGAAAAGAAUUUAAUUCUGAUUCUGAAAAAUUAGAUUGUCCCAACAAUUCUACGUCAGAUCAGGAGGAUAAAUGUUUCAAAACUUCUUCAGAUGUACUAAAACAUGUAACUCCUGAAACGGAAUCUUACAAGUCCUUGCUGUGGCCUGAAGUGACACAAGUAACUUAUUUUGAUGUCUAUUACAAUCUAGGAAAUUUUUCUGAGGAGCUGGCUACCCUUGUUGACAAAUUUAGAGAGCGUUACGUCAGUUCUGAAACUAACUCAUCGUUCAUCACUCAAGGCCCAAUGCUAACUGGCAGUGCUAAAAAAAGGGCCAGGAGACGUGCGUGGGGUGGUUACAGUCCAGGAAGAAGGUUGUCUCAUCUGGCUCAACGUCGGCGCACAUUCUCGUCUGCUAAUUUGAGUCAGUUCUCUACAAAUGCCAAUGGACGAGUGAUCUUGCCAGGUGGCUCAAACAACAAUAAAUCAGCUGUCUCAAAGAAAGUCAUUAUGGUUGACAUGAAACAGAAGAAUGCUCAGAAAGCUAAAAGCACAUCUCGAAUUAAGGAUGUAAGUCGUGGAGUGUCCAGCCAAACAUUAAUCAAUCAAAGCGUGCUCUUUUCCAAGCCCUGACCAGGUGACAAAGAAUAGUGGGAAAAAGGAACGGAUGUCAAAGACAACUCCAAACAAGUCACGGACUUCCAAGCGAGCACUUUGGCCAAGCAGUGACAAAAAAAAUCGACGGAGCGCAAAGAAACCGACUCCCAAGAAAACCGUAAUUGAAGAUUCAGAUGAAAGAAGAAGAGCGUGUGAUAAAUGCCAACGGGAAGCGGCUUUCAAAUGAAAACGAUGCUGGUCCUUCUCGAAAAAUUGCAAGAAAAGUCUGACCUUUACUUCGGAGCAUGUUUCAUCUGUUGAUGUAGAGACCAAAAUCAAGCAGCCUUCAGACCCUCUUAACAGUCAAAUACCUUCGCAGCAGCAUAAGCAGUUGAGCCAACACCAUAAACAGGUUCGUCGUUUGCCUGUUUUCCUCCUUAUAACAUUCCUCGCCAGAAGUUUUUGAUGUUUUGUCCCGUUAAGAUAGUAGGCCUAUCAGUAGCCAGAGUGCAAAACCGUGCAUUUCCAUUGCAGUGCUCUAAAAUUUUCGCUCCUAUUUUAUUUUUUGUAGAGAAAGAAGCCAUUUUUAUAGCUUGAGAUUUAUACAGAAUGUUCUGUAACUGGAAACUAAAAUCGAGGAAGUUUUCAGCAAAUUACAUCGACUGCAUUUUCAAAGAAAAAAUGAAGUAUGACAGGAAGUCUGCAUUGUUGACAGCAGAGGUAGUUGUUUUGCACUUUGGCCCUCAAAAAGCUUCAUCCAACAGUGUUGCAAAAUAAUGUAAGUUAGUCGAAAAAAUUUCAAUUGUUAAUUUUCCCAUCAAGUUAAAAACUAGAUUAAAUAGUAUCCUCUUUCAUUUUUCCCACAUCUUCUAAUAGCAAUUUUUGUCUU